GGUGUUGAAGGCCCUGCAAAGCAGCAUCGCGGUGGCGGAGCGUCGUUUGCGACGCCCAACACACAAAACAAGCGGUGAGUGCUUUGGGGUGGGGUGACUGCGUACCUUUUGUAUAAUGGGUCAGCGACUUAUAUUCUGUAGCAAGGUUAACCGAAUAGGGGAGCCGGAGGGAAACCGAGUCUUAAUUGGGCGUUAAGUUGCAGGGUAUAGACCCGAAACCCGGUGAUCUAGCCAUGGGCAGGUUGAAGGUUGGGUAACACUAACUGGAGGACCGAACCGACUAAUGUUGAAAAAUUAGCGGAUGACCUGUGGCUGGGGGUGAAAGGCCAAUCAAACCGGGAGAUAGCUGGUUCUCCCCGAAAGCUAUUUAGGUAGCGCCUCGUGAAUUCAUCUCCGGGGGUAGAGCACUGUUUCGGCUAGGGGGCCAUCCCGGCUUACCAACCCGAUGCAAACUGCGAAUACCGGAGAAUGUUAUCACGGGAGACACACGGCGGGUGCUAACGUCCGUCGUGAAGAGGGAAACAACCCAGACCGCCAGCUAAGGUCCCAAAGUCAUGGUUAAGUGGGAAACGAUGUGGGAAGGCCCAGACAGCCAGGAUGUUGGCUUAGAAGCAGCCAUCAUUUAAAGAAAGCGUAAUAGCUCACUGGUCGAGUCGGCCUGCGCGGAAGAUGUAACGGGGCUAAACCAU
rnacentral:rRNA from 1 species